CCUACGGGUGGCAGCAGUGAGGAAUAUUGGUCAAUGGACGAGAGUCUGAACCAGCCAAGUAGCGUGAAGGAUGACUGCCCUAUGGGUUGUAAACUUCUUUUAUAUGGGAAUAAAAUGUUCCACGUGUGGGAUUUUGUAUGUACCAUAUGAAUACGGAUCGGCUAACUCCGUUCCAGCAGCCGCGGUAAUGCGGAGGAUCCGAGCGUUAUCCGGAUUUAUUGGGUUUAACGGGAGCGUAGGUGGAUUGUUAAGUCAGUUGUGAAAGUUUGCGGCUCAACCGUAAAAGUGCAGUUGAAACUGGCAGUCUUGAGUACAGUAGAGGAGAGUGGAAUUCGUGGUGUAGCGGUGAAAUGCGUAGAUAUCACGAAGAACACCGAUUGCGAAAGCAGUUCACUGGACUGCAACUGACACUGAGGCUCGAAAGUGUGGGUAUCAAACAGGAUUAGAUACCCUUGUAGUC
rnacentral:rRNA from 1 species